rnacentral:rRNA from 1 species
CAAUAGCGUAUAUUAAAGUUGUUGCAGUUAAAAAGCUCGUAUUUGAAUUUAUGGCCCGAGUGUCCGGUCCGGUUCAAUGAACUGGUUACUUCGAGACGUCUCGGGCCUUCCUUUAGGAGAGCUUGUUUGGCAUUGAUUUGUCGGGCAAGGGACCCUAAUCGUUUACUGUGAAAAAUUAGAGUGUUUAAAGCAGGCAUUUGCUGUGAAUACAUUAGCAUGGAAUAAUAAGAUAGGACUUUGGUACUAUUUUGUUGGUUUGCAUACCAAGGUAAUGAUUAACAGGGACAGUUGGGGGUAUUCGUAUUUAAUUGUCAGAGGUGAAAUUCUUGGAUUUAUGAAAGACGAACUACUGCGAAAGCAUUUACCAAGGAUGUUUUCAUUAAUCAAGAACGAAAGUUAGGGGAUCGAAGAUGAUUAGAUACCAU